ACCUCGGUGGUGCAGUGGUAGUAUGCGUCUCCGGUAUAGAUUAAACACGGGCUCGACUCCCGUCCAAGGUC